UACGUAGGUGGCAAGCGUUGUCCGGAUUUAUUGGGUUUAAAGGGUGCGUAGGCGGCCCUGUAAGUCAGUGCUGAAAUAUCCCGGCUUAACCGGGAGGGUGGCAUUGAUACUGCGGGGCUAGAGUACAGAUGAGGUAGGCGGAAUUGACGGUGUAGCGGUAAAAUGCUUAGAUAUCGUCAAGAACACCUAUAGCGAAGGCAGCUUACUAGGCUGUAACUGACGCUGAGGCACGAAAGUGUGGGGAGCAAACAGG
rnacentral:rRNA from 1 species